rnacentral:rRNA from 1 species
CGGGAAUUCGCCGAGAUGGCUUAGUGCCUUCGGGAACCGUGAGACAGGUGCUGCAUGGCUGUCGUCAGCUCGUGUUGUGAAAUGUUGGGUUAAGUCCCGCAACGAGCGCAACCCUUAUCCUUUGUUGCCAGCACGUAAUGGUGGGAACUCAAAGGAGACUGCCGGUGAUAAACCGGAGGAAGGUGGGGAUGACGUCAAGUCAUCAUGGCCCUUACGAGUAGGGCUACACACGUGCUACAAUGGCAUAUACAAAGAGAAGCGAACUCGCGAGAGCAAGCGGACCUCAUAAAGUAUGUCGUAGUCCGGAUUGGAGUCUGCAACUCGACUCCAUGAAGUCGGAAUCGCUAGUAAUCGUAGAUCAGAAUGCUACGGUGAAUACGUUCCCGGGUCUUGUACACACCGUA